rnacentral:rRNA from 1 species
AUUGAACGCUGGCGGCAUGCCUUACACAUGCAAGUCGAACGGCAGCGGACCUUCGGGUGCCGGCGAGUGGCGAACGGGUGAGUAAUAUAUCGGAACGUACCUUUCAGUGGGGGAUAACGUAGCGAAAGUUACGCUAAUACUGCAUAUUCUGUGAGCAGGAAAGCAGGGGAUCGCAAGACCUUGCGCUGAUUGAGCGGCCGAUGUCAGAUUAGCUAGUUGGUGAGGUAAAGGCUCACCAAGGCGACGAUCUGUAGCGGGUCUGAGAGGAUGAUCCGCCACACUGGAACUGAGACACGGUCCAGACUCCUACGGGAGGCAGCAGUGGGGAAUUUUGGACAAUGGGCGCAAGCCUGAUCCAGCCAUGCCGCGUGAGUGAAGAAGGCCUCGGUU